rnacentral:rRNA from 1 species
AUGGCGAAGCAUCGCCUCCUCGCCGUGCUCCUCAUCGGGAUAGUUGCAGCCUCCUCUUUCAACCAAGCAGCUGCGGCUAGCCGAGGCCUUGUUGUCGUUGGGAAGUUCACAGAGCUAGAGCCAAAGCCGGAACCCAAACCAGAGCCAAUGCCCAAACCUAUGCCCCACCCAGAGUCAGAGCCCUGCAAACCUGAACCGAUGCCCAAACCCGAACCAAAGCCUGGACAGAAGCCUGAACCAGAACCCAAGCCCAAGCCGAUGCCAAAACCAAAGCCCAAGCCCUGCUCCAAAUCGAAGCCUGAGCCGAUGCCAAAACCGGAACCAAAGCCGGAGCCCAAGGCUAAACCUGAACCGAAACCGAAGCCGCCUCCAAAGUGCAAACCACUGGCAACGCACAAUUGA